GUACUGAUGAAGAGUCCCAAACCAGGAUGAAACAGCUGUCAAGUAC
rfam:Trichobilharzia regenti genome assembly, scaffold: TRE_contig0009145